rnacentral:rRNA from 1 species
GCCAGCCUUAAACAUAAAUAGCACCCUACAUUAGCUAUUCGCCAGGGAACUACGAGCCCCAGCUUAAAACCCAAAGGACUUGGCGGUGCUUUAAAUCCACCUAGAGGAGCCUGUUCUAUAACCGAUAACCCCCGUUCAACCUCACCUUCCCUUGUUAACCCCGCCUAUAUACCGCCGUCGUCAGCUUACCCCCUAAGGGUUAAACAGUAAGCAUAAUUGGUCUAACCCUAAACGUCAGGUCGAGGUGUAGCGCAUGAGAAGGAAAGAAAUGGGCUACAUUCACUACCUAAGUGAACACGAAUGAUAAAUUGAAACAUUCAUCUGAAGGAGGAUUUAGCAGUAAGCAGAAAAUAGAGCGUUCUGCUGAAACCGGUUCUAAAGCGCGCACACACCGCCCGUCACCCUCUGGCAGUUCAA